GGCAGAAGCUCAGUCUAAGUGCCUGCAACAGAAUUUGUCCCAUAUCCAUACAACUUGCUCCUCCACAACAAAUGGGAGAAUCAUCCUCUUACCUCCAGGACAAGUCCCUUCCUGAAAAGCUCUUCAUUGUCUCUUGAAAACGGUCUGUGAAAGUGCCAAACCACCAGCUCUCCAGAUGUGGCUGAAUAUCAAGGUCUCUACAAAUAAAUACCAUAAAGAAGCUACAAGCAGCCAGGCAUGGUGGCUCACACCUGUAAUCCCAGAUACUCAGGAGGCUGAGGCAUGAGAAUCGUUUGAACCUGGAGGCAGAGGUUGCAGUGAACCAAGAUGGCCCCACUGCUCUCCAGCCUGGGUGACAGAGC
ensembl:lncRNA MLIP-AS1 MLIP antisense RNA 1